rnacentral:rRNA from 1 species
UAGGGAAUCUUCGGCAAUGGACGAAAGUCUGACCGAGCAACGCCGCGUGAGUGAAGAAGGUUUUAGGAUCGUAAAACUCUGUUGUUAGAGAAGAACAAGGACGUUAGUAACUGAACGUCCCCUGACGGUAUCUAACCAGAAAGCCACGGCUAACUACGUGCCAGCAGCCGCGGUAAUACGUAGGUGGCAAGCGUUGUCCGGAUUUAUUGGGCGUAAAGCGAGCGCAGGCGGUUUCUUAAGUCUGAUGUGAAAGCCCCCGGCUCAACCGGGGAGGGUCAUUGGAAACUGGGAGACUUGAGUGCAGAAGAGGAGAGUGGAAUUCCAUGUGUAGCGGUGAAAUGCGUAGAUAUAUGGAGGAACACCAGUGGCGAAGGCGGCUCUCUGGUCUGUAACUGACGCUGAGGCUGGAAAGCGUGGGGAGCAAACAGG